GAUGAACGCUAGCUACAGGCUUAACACAUGCAAGUCGAGGGGCAGCAUGAAAGUUUGCUUGCAAACUUUUGAUGGCGACCGGCGCACGGGUGAGUAACACGUAUCCAACCUGCCUCAUACUCGGGGAUAGCCUUUCGAAAGAAAGAUUAAUACCCGAUGGCAUAGUUCUUCCGCAUGGUAGAACUAUUAAAGAAUUUCGGUCAUCGAUGGGGAUGCGUUCCAUUAGCUUGUUGGCGGGGUAACGGCCCACCAAGGCAUCGAUGGAUAGGGGUUCUGAGAGGAAGGUCCCCCACAUUGGAACUGAGACACGGUCCAA
rnacentral:rRNA from 1 species